rnacentral:rRNA from 1 species
CCUACGGGAGGCAGCAGUAGGGAAUAUUGCUCAAUGGGAGAAACCCUGAAGCAGCCACGCCGCGUGGAGGAUGAAGGUUUUCGGAUUGUAAACUCCUUUUGUUAGAGAAGAAAAUGACGGUAUCUAACGAAUAAGCACCGGCUAACUCCGUGCCAGCAGCCGCGGUAAUACGGAGGGUGCAAGCGUUACUCGGAAUCACUGGGCGUAAAGCGCGCGUAGGCGGGAUAGCAAGUCAGAUGUGAAAUCCUAUGGCUUAACCAUAGAACUGCAUUUGAAACUGUUAUUCUAGAGUAUGGGAGAGGUAGGUGGAAUUCUUGGUGUAGGGGUAAAAUCCGUAGAGAUCAAGAGGAAUACUCAUUGCGAAGGCGACCUGCUAGAACAUAACUGACGCUGAUGCGCGAAAGCGUGGGGAGCAAACAGGAUUAGAUACCCGAGUAGUC